AUUGAACGCUGGCGGCAUGCUUUACACAUGCAAGUCGAACGGCAGCGCGGGCUUCGGCCUGGCGGCGAGUGGCGAACGGGUGAGUAAUGCAUCGGAACGUGCCCAGUAGUGGGGGAUAGCCCGGCGAAAGCCGGAUUAAUACCGCAUACGACCUGAGGGUGAAAGCGGGGGACCGAAAGGCCUCGCGCUAUUGGAGCGGCCGAUGUCGGAUUAGCUAGUUGGUGGGGUAAAGGCUUACCAAGGCGACGAUCCGUAGCUGGUCUGAGAGGACGACCAGCCACACUGGGACUGAGACACGGCCCAGACUCCUACGGGAGGCAGCAGUGGGGAAUUGUGGACAAUGGGGGCAACCCUGAUCCAGCCAUGCCGCGUGCGGGAAGAAGGCCUUCGGGUUGUAAACCGCUUUUGUUCGGGAAGAAAUCCUCUGGGCUAAUACCCCGGGGGGAUGACGGUACCGGAAGAAUAAGCACCGGCUAACUACGUG
rnacentral:rRNA from 1 species